AGCUCCCUGGCAAUGGGCAAAGAGGCACCUGAUUGGUGGUGUUGCUCUUAUAUCAGUCAGGGGCAAAGCAGAUGUCUAGUCCUUUGUUCAUCCUAGCUUGAUGCCUGGAUUGGUGGCCAGAGCUAUUUCAUGCCUGGGGCACAUAA
ensembl:snoRNA